rnacentral:rRNA from 1 species
UUCUUUAAGAACUAAUUUAAAGUAAAUCCUGCUCCAUGCAAUUAAAUAGCCGCAGAUUAUCUGUGCUAAGGUAGCAUAAUCAUUAGCUUUUUAAUUAAAAGAUAGAAUGAAUGGAUUCACGAAAUUAAAACUGUCUCAUUAUUAAAAUUUAAAAUUCAUAUUUCAAUAAAAAAGUUGAAUUAUAAAAGUAAGACGACAAGACCCUAAUGAACUAAUUUUAUUAGCUAGGGCGGCUAAAUAAAAAAACCUUAUAAUAAUCAAUUACAAAACUAAUAUAAUUAUAAAAGAAAAAGUUACCAUAGGGAUAACAGCGCUACUUCUUUUUAAAGUUCUCAUUAAAAAAGAAAUCUACGACCUCGAUGUUGAAUUAAUUCCCUUUACAGCAAUUCUUUAGAGCAAAAUCUAUAAAAGGUAGUCUGUUCGACUAUUUAAAAAUU